AUACAGAGGGUGCAAACGUUGUUCGGAAUUACUGGGCAUAAAGCGCACGUAGGCGGUCUAGUAAGUGUGAAGUGAAAUCCCACGGCUCACCCGUGGAACUGCUUUGCAAACUGCUAGACUCGAGGAAGGUAGGGGAGAGCAGAACUCUUGGAGGAGCGGUGAAAUGCGUAGAUAUCAAGAGGAAUACCAGUGGCGAAGGCGGCUCUCUGGUCCUUUUCUGACGCUGAGGUGCGAAAGCUAGGGUAGCGAACGGGAUUAGAAACCCCAGUAGUCC
rnacentral:rRNA from 1 species